rnacentral:misc_RNA from 1 species
GUAUUGCAUUUCUGCUUCCAUCAACAAACAUGCGUAAACGUGCUUCUAUAAAGGUUGGGGUGUUUUGUCACCACCCGCGGGGGCGCACCCCGCGCGGGCGGGCCACGGUUCACAGGGGGGUGGAGAGAGAAGUGGGCGCGCGCGCGCACGCGCUCUCUGCAGCGAGAGAGCGCAGCAGCAGCAGCAGCCGCGCGCCGGAUUUCGCUAAUGAUCCUUCCGCAGGUUCACCUACGGAAA